UACGUAGGGGGCAAGCGUUGUCCGGAUUUAUUGGGCGUAAAGAGCGUGUAGGCGGCCUGGCAGGUCGGCUGUGAAAACUCGAGGCUUAACCUCGAGACGCCGGCUGAAACCCUCUGGCUAGAGUCCGGAAGAGGAGAGCGGAAUUCCUGGUGUAGCGGUGAAAUGCGCAGAUAUCAGGAAGAACACCCGUGGCGAAGGCGGCUCUCUGGGACGGUACUGACGCUGAGGUGCGAAAGCGUGGGGAGCAAACAGG
rnacentral:rRNA from 1 species